GACGAACGCUGGCGGCGUGCUUAACACAUGCAAGUCGAACGGUAAGGCCCUUCGGGGUACACGAGUGGCGAACGGGUGAGUAACACGUGGGUGAUCUGCCCUGCACUUCGGGAUAAGCCUGGGCAACUGGGUCUAAUACCGGAUAGGACCACUGCCUGCAUGGGUGGUGGUGGAAAGCUUUUGCGGGGUGGGAUGGGCCCGCGGCCUAUCAGCUUGUUGGUGGGGUGAUGGCCUACCAAGGCGACGACGGGUAGCCGGCCUGAGAGGGUGACCGGCCACACUGGGACUGAGAUACGGCCCGGACUCCUACGGGAGGCAGCAGUGGGGAAUAUUGCACAAUGGGCGCAAGCCUGAUGCAGCGACGCCGCGUGAGGGAUGACGGCCUUCGGGUUGUAAACCUCUUUCAGCACCGACGAAGCGCAAGUGACGGUAGGUGCAGAAGAAGGACCGGCCAACUACGUGCCAGCAGCCGCCGUAA
rnacentral:rRNA from 1 species